GCUUACGGCCACACCUACCUCAGCACGCCCGAUCUCGGUCUGAUCUCGGAAACAAAGCAGGGUCGGGCCUGGUUUGUACUUGGAUGGGAGACCGCCCUGGGAAUACCAGGUGCUGGAAGCC
rnacentral:rRNA from 1 species